UAGGGAAUCUUCCACAAUGGGCGAAAGCCUGAUGGAGCAACGCCGCGUGUGUGAUGAAGGGUUCCGGCUCGUAAAACACUGUUGUAAGAGAAGAAUGACAUUGAGAGUAACUGUUCAAUGUGUGACGGUAUCUUACCAGAAAGGAACGGCUAAAUACGUGCCAC
rnacentral:rRNA from 1 species